rnacentral:rRNA from 1 species
CACGUAGGGCGCAAGCGUUGUCCGGAAUUAUUGGGCGUAAGAGCUCGUAGGCGGUCUGUUGCGUCUGCUGUGAAAACCCGGGGCUUAACCCCUGGCUUGCAGUGGAUACGGACAGACUAGAGGUAGGUAGGGGAGAAUGGAAUUCCCGGUGUAGCGGUGAAAUGCGCAGAUAUCGGGAGGAACACCGGUGGCGAAGGCGGUUCUCUGGGCCUUACCUGACGCUGAGGAGCGAAAGCGUGGGGAGCGAACAGG